ACAUGCAAGUCGAACGGUAACAGGAAGCAGCUUGCUGCUUCGCUGACGAGUGGCGGACGGGUGAGUAAUGUCUGGGAAACUGCCUGAUGGAGGGGGAUAACUACUGGAAACGGUAGCUAAUACCGCAUAACGUCGCAAGACCAAAGAGGGGGACCUUCGGGCCUCUUGCCAUCGGAUGUGCCCAGAUGGGAUUAGCUAGUAGGUGGGGUAACGGCUCACCUAGGCGACGAUCCCUAGCUGGUCUGAGAGGAUGACCAGCCACACUGGAACUGAGACACGGUCCAGACUCCUACGGGAGGCAGCAGUGGGGAAUAUUGCACAAUGGGCGCAAGCCUGAUGCAGCCAUGCCGCGUGUAUGAAGAAGGCCUUCGGGUUGUAAAGUACUUUCAGCGGGGAGGAAGGCGAUAAGGUUAAUAACCUUGUCGAUUGACGUUACCCGCAGAAGAAGCACCGGCUAACUCCGUGCCAGCAGCCGCGGUAAUACGGAGGGUGCAAGCGUUAAUCGGAAUUACUGGGCGUAAAGCGCACGCAGGCGGUCUGUCAAGUCGGAUGUGAAAUCCCCGGGCUCAACCUGGGAACUGCAUUCGAAACUGGCAGGCUAGAGUCUUGUAGAGGGGGGUAGAAUUCCAGGUGUAGCGGUGAAAUGCGUAGAGAUCUGGAGGAAUACCGGUGGCGAAGGCGGCCCCCUGGACAAA
rnacentral:rRNA from 1 species